rnacentral:sRNA from 1 species
ACUUAUACAUUUUUUGGAAUGGUGUCUAGCACAUAGCAAGCGCGGCAUUAGCCAUUUUUCUCCUAGAGCAAGCCCUUCUCUCCUUGUAUAAUGACUCUCCUGUCUCUGCCGGCUUCUUUCCUGUAGGGAGUACCUGACAGGCUUCCACAAGCGGAAGGUUGAGCGAAAGAAGGCAGCCAUUGAGGAGAUUAAGCAGCGGCUGAAAGAGGAGCAGAGGAAGCUCCGGGAGGAGCGCCACCAGGAAUACUUGAAGAUGCUGGCAGAGAGAGAAGAGGCGCUGGAGGAGGCAGAUGAGCUGGACCGGUUGGUGACAGCAAAGACGGAGUCGGUGCAGUAUGACCACCCCAACCACACAGUCACCGUGACCACCAUCAGUGACCUGGACCUCUCGGGGGCCCGGCUGCUUGGGCUGACCCCACCUGAGGGAGGGGCUGGAGACGAGUCUGAGGAGGAGGCAUCAUCCACAGAGAAACCAACCAAAGCCUUGCCCAGGAAGUCCAGAGACCCCCUGCUCUCUCAGCGGAUCUCCUCCCUCACAGCAUCACUGCAUGCACACAGCCGCAAAAAGGUCAAGAGGAAACAUCCCCGACAGGCCCAGGACUCCAAGAAGCCCCCAAGGGCCACUCGUACCAGCAAGGCCCAGCGCCGCCGUCUCACAGGCAAAGCGCAGCACAGCAGGGAGUGAGACCGAGAACCAAGCGGUGCCCCAACCUAGGCUGCGGGGGACCUGUCCUUGCUCAGCUUGGCUGUCCCUGUAGCCCAGCCUGCACCUAGGUAAUGAGUGCACAGCUCAAGGUUGGGAAGCCAGGACCUCU